UACGUAGGGUGCGAGCGUUAAUCGGAAUUACUGGGCGUAAAGCGUGCGCAGGCGGUUUUGUAAGACAGAUGUGAAAUCCCCGGGCUUAACCUGGGAACUGCAUUUGUGACUGCAAGACUAGAGUGCGGCAGAGGGGGGUAGAAUUCCACGUGUAGCAGUGAAAUGCGUAGAUAUGUGGAGGAACACCAAUGGCGAAGGCAGCCCCCUGGGAUAACACUGACGCUCAUGUACGAAAGCGUGGGUAGCAAACAGG
rnacentral:rRNA from 1 species